CCUACGGGCGGCACCAGUGGGGAAUAUUGCACAAUGGGCGCAAGCCUGAUGCAGCCAUGCCGCGUGUAUGAAGAAGGCCUUAGGGUUGUAAAGUACAUUCAGUUGGGAGGAAGGCGUUGAUGCUAAUAUCAUCAACGAUUGACGUUACCAACAGAAGAAGCACCGGCUAACUCCGUGCCAGCAGCCGCGGUAAUACGGAGGGUGCAAGCGUUAAUCGGAAUUACUGGGCGUAAAGCGCACGCAGGCGGUCUGUUAAGUCAGAUGUGAAAUCCCCGGGCUCAACCUGGGAACUGCACUCGAAACUGGCAGGCUAGAGUCUUGUAGAGGGGGGUAGAAUUCCAGGUGUAGCGGUGAAAUGCGUAGAGAUCUGGAGGAAUACCGGUGGCGAUGGCGGCCCCCUGGGCAAAGACUGACGCUCAGGUGCGAAAGCGUGGGGAGCAAACAGGAUUAGAUACCCGGGUAGUC
rnacentral:rRNA from 1 species